UAGAGUAGGUUCAGCUCCCUCACUGCUACAUUCCCUAGCAGUUAUUGCCCAGUUAUUGCUAGUCUAUCAGCCUUAUGGCUCACCCUGGCUGUUACACUCUCCCUUGUAUUCUGUUCCAAAGGGAUACAUUGACCAAUCAGGGAGUUUCUUCCCUCAGGCAGCCAGAACCUUCUAUCUCCUCCCAGAUGCAACCAAUAGCAACCCUUUAUAACUUUCCCUCCAAAACUCUGCAGCUGACAAUAUUUUUUAUCUCAGACAAGGCUGUAAGAGGUUGUUAUAUUUAAUCCUUGCAGAGCCUGGAAAAAGAACAAAAAUUACAAACCCUAAAACAGAGUGGAAAGGGGCCAUUCCUUCACAUCAAUGAAGAGAUUAUAGGCUUGCAUUCAGUUCUGGUUCAUUGCAGGGAGGGGGGGGGCGACCUUCUGAACCAGUGUAUGGGUACAGGUUCAGCUGGGCUCCCCAAUACCUUGCCCUGAAAUCAGCAGAUAUUGAUCACAAUCGUAUUCUUCUGGUGUUUGAAUACAGACCUCAUUUGAAAACUGCCUUCAUUCCCAAGGAGUACAUCCCAAAGUAACUGUUAUACAAUCUCCUUUACCAACUGAUAUGAUGGUCACUCUGAUCAAUGUCACUUAGGUACCAAGUGCUGAAAAUGUUUCCAUUUGAAGUCAGAAAUCAAAGGCUGCCAGAAACUGUACAUGAGGCAUCCUUAUAUUAUCCUUCUAAUUCCUCGAGAGGCUAGGCUGAGAAAUAAUUUGCUGAAGGCCACCUAGACAGUCUCCUGGUAGAAGGCUAAACUCAAAUUUUCUCUUUUUAAAAGCAUGUGGUACUGUUUUGAUGAGCUUGACUAUGAGCUCCAAUAAUGCAUGCAGGGCCAGUCUGGGAAGCCCAUCCUUCCUAUGAUAUUCUCACCACUGGGAUACAUGCCUGCGCAGGAAACCAAUCGGGAAGAUUCUAAAGCAAUGUGUGGCACUCCCAACUCCACCCACGGCAUGCAUGAGUCCAUUGACAUAGGCGGUCAGAGAAUCGUUCUCCUCUGUUCCUGGACCGCCAGAUGUCAGCAACUAUCAUAAGUGGAACUGGAGAGGUGAGAGAACAGGAAACAGAAAGUCUGUCAUCUUUACGAAAGGGACGAGACCUAUCAAAGUAAAAGGCUAAUGCCCAGCGUACAUCCAAUGUGUGCAGGGACUGCUCUAAGUCAGAUUGUGGGUUGUGGAAAAAAGCCAGCAGAACCACAUCCUGGAGGAUGGGGAAACUCGUGUUCACCUUUGGAAUAAAAUAUA